UAAUUGGCGCUAGCAUACGCGCCAACCGCCCUCGUUGGUUUGUGUCAUGAUGGAAAGGAAUCAACAUCAUCAAGCCUACACGCGCGCAGAGCACGCAUACUGAAGCGACGAAGAAGAAGAACAGUCAACGGACGUGCCGGGCCUCGUCUCAGAACGAACUUCGACGUGGUCUUUCCGCCAUGUGGACUUGCGAGACUAAAGUGGGCAUCACCUGCCUGGUCGUGAUUUGCGGGAGCGCGAACACGGUAGCCUUCGCCGCGGCCAUACUGCAGUGGGAAGAAAUGGUGGUGUCUCUCAGUUUCGGAGCCUGCUUUUUCGGGAUCAGCAUAUUUUCUUGAUGCUGCUGUUCUCCAUCCUGGUGACCCUGCGUGGCUUGAUCCACGUCAAGUACGAGAGGUCCGCCAUGGUGACGCCGAUGCCCCUCACGAUACCCCCAAUGGGCCCA
rnacentral:lncRNA from 1 species